CCCCUGCUUGUGCUCUCUCUCUCUCUCUCUGGGUCAAAUAAAAUCUUUUUAAAAAGGUGGAGCCAGAGAAAUCUUUAGUCUUGGGCUAAUUUUGUCAGAUCACUGAUGCUCUCCUUUCCUGGGGACUUUACUCAGUGCCCAUAUAGCAGGAGGACGUUCUCUCUGGCUGGUCAGAACAUAAACUACUCCCAGCCUUAUGUGAGUUUUAAUGGUUGUUCUGUCUACUUCUUUCUCAUGUUUCGUGUUUCUUUUCCUGAUUUGGGGUUGUUUCUUCCCAGGCACAUGCCUGUUGGUCCUCAGUUUCAAGUGGAUCCAGAGAUCUGAGUCUGUGAAACUCCCUCUCCUCUGGCAUGUUGCCCUAGAGAUUUAAUCUCCUGGACUCUCUGAACCCUGUUCUUCUUCAGCUUGAAUACAAGGAUCUGGACCUUGGAGUACCUGUCUUCCCAGUCUGGCCAACAGCGGCACCCCCUACCGCUCCUCCUGGGACACCAGAGCUCCGAGAGCAUGAAGUCUCAGGACACGCGCCUCUGCCACCUCGGUUCACUGUACUGCUGAAGCCCAACUCACCCCAUUUUUGUGCCCUUGGCCUCUCUGCUGUAGUCCACCCCUCCUCUAAUGCCUGAGACCAUAGACAUCCCUGUCAUGAUUCUGGAUGCGGCCCAGUCUGCUCUUUGUUUUCUCCCAACUCUUCGGGUGGGGGCGGGUUUCCAGCCUCUUGGUGUGCGCAGCCAGUGGGUAGGAGAUGGCCAAGUGUGGACUGACAGAUGCUGGGUCCUUUCCUUGGUACCCAAGACUGGCAUACUUCUACCCCACUUCCUUUCCUUCUCAACCCCAGGGGGCCCCACUGCUCCUAGUCCUUUCGCUAGCUGGAGAAACUGAGGCUUGAGCAAACUAGGUGUCUAGACCAAAAUGGUGCAGCUAACCACUGCUCUGCUUUUAAUUCCUUCUUCUUCGAAAAGUAAUUUUUUAAAAAUUUAUCAAACCGGUAUUUGCUUUGUAACAAAGUACCACAGCACAGUCUAUCACUAAUCUCCUCCUUUUCCCGAACCUAUGGUCACAGUCCCCUAAGGCAACCAGUGUCCCCAGUUUUGACAUUGACUCCCACAUCUCUCCCCUUGUUCUCAUACUCAGACUCCAACGUACAUAGGCUUAAGCAUGUUGUUUUAAAAAUGAGAUCAUACUGUAUACAUUCCAGUGCUGUCCUGUGUUCAAGUUGACAUGUAAUUCACAUACCAUAAAAUCCACCCUUGGCAAGCGUCCUGUUCGGUGGUUUUGAGUGCACUCAUGUAGAGCAGCUGUCACCACAGUCCAUUUCCUUACCCAGAAAGAACCCCCGUGCCCAUCAGCAGUCACUCUAGCUCUCAGCAACCGCUCAUUUGCUUUUUGCCUCUCUCUAUUUGCUUAUUCUGGGCAUUGCACAUAAAUGAGAUCAUAUAGUAUGUGGCCACCUUCUUCUGGCCUCCUUCACUUAGUGUAACGUACAACGCAUGUCUUGGGCUAGCUGCAUUAUUUUCCACGGUCUGCCUGUGUGCAUGUGCCCUAAUUUAGCCCGCUGUCCUAAUAUCUUGGUUGGUUGGUUGGUUUGGGGUAAGUACAGUGCUGCGAUAUCCUGCCUUGCAUUUGCUUCCUUAUGUGCAGGAACUUUUGUUUCUGUAGUAUAAGUACCCAGAAGGGUGUAACAGUUCCCACUCCUGACAAAAAUGCUUCCUCAUGGCCGAGAUCCCAGGUUUUAAUUAGUGUUGCUCUGAUAGGGAAAAACGCAUGACCUUAUUUUUGUUUUGAUUUCCAUUUUCCUGACAAGAAAUCAUUAGUCUUGCAUCGUCUGUCGGAAAUUUGCAUUUCUUCCUUUUCGAGUGGCUUUUUCUUUUUUUUAAAUGUUGAAACAGUUAAACA